CACGUAGGGUGCGAGCGUUGUCCGGAAUUAUUGGGCGUAAAGAGCUCGUAGGCGGUCCGUCACGUCGGAUGUGAAAUUCCAGGGCUCAACCCUGGACCUGCAUUCGAUACGGGCGGACUAGAGUUCGGUAGGGGAGACUGGAAUUCCUGGUGUAGCGGUGAAAUGCGCAGAUAUCAGGAGGAACACCGGUGGCGAAGGCGGGUCUCUGGGCAGUAACUGACGCUGAGGAGCGAAAGCGUGGGGAGCGAACAGG
rnacentral:rRNA from 1 species